UGCUCAUUACACAGCCGUCGUUUCUUGGAUCUCUUAUUUUACUWGRAUAACUGUGGUAAUUCUAGAGCUAAUACACGCACUAAAGCUCCGACCUUACGGGACGAGCGCAUUUAUUAGAACAAAACCAAUCGGGUUUCGGCCCGUUCGUUGGUGACUCUGAAUAACUACGCCGAUCGCACGGUCUCGCACCGGCGACGCAUCUUUCAAGUGUCUGCCUUAUCAACUUUCGAUGGUAGUUUAUGUGCCUACCAUGGUUGUAACGGGUAACGGAGAAUAAGGGUUCGACUCCGGAGAGGGAGCCUGAGAAACGGCUACCACAUCCAAGGAAGGCAGCAGGCGCGCAAAUUACCCACUCUCGGCACGAGGAGGUAGUGACGAAAAAUAACGAGACGGAUCUCUUUGAGGCCCGUUAUCGGAAUGAGAACAAUUCAAAUCCUUUAACGAGGAUCUAGCGGAGGGCAAGUCUGGUGCCAGCAGCCGCGGUAAUUCCAGCUCCGCAGGUGUAUAUCUAUGCUGCUGCGGUUAAAAAGCUCGUAGUUGGAUCUGCGUGCUCGGAACCGGUUGGCUCACUGAGUUCAAACUGGUCUCCGGCGCUUUAUCGGCUGGUUUUCCCUUGAUGCUCUUAACCGGGUGUCUUGGGUGGCUAGCACGUUUACUUUGAAAAAAUUAGAGUGCUCAAUACAGGCGCAAAGCCUUGAAUAGUGGUGCAUGGAAUAAUAGAAUAGGACCUCGGUUCUAUUUUGUUGGUUUUCGGAACGCGAGGUAAUGAUUAAGAGGGACAGACGGGGGCAUUCGUAUUGCGACGUUAGAGGUGAAAUUCUUGGAUCGUCGCAAGACGGACCACUUACAAAGCAUUGCCAA
rnacentral:rRNA from 1 species